rnacentral:rRNA from 1 species
GAUGAACGCUGGCGGCGUGCCUAAUACAUGCAAGUCGAGCGAACAGAUGAGGAACUUUCUCCUCUGACGUUAGCGGCGGACGGGUGAGUAACACGUGGAUAACCUACCUAUAAGACUGGGAUAACUUCGUGAAACCGGAGCUAAUACCGGAUAAUAUAUUGAACCGCAUGGUUCAAUAGUGACAGACGGUUUUGCUGUCACUUAUAGAUGGAUCCGCGCGGCAUUAGCUAGUAGGUAAGGUAACGGCUUACCUAGGCAACGAUGCGUAGCCGACCUGAGAGGAUGAUCGGCCACACUGGAACUGAGACACGGUCCAGACUCCUACGGGAGGCAGCAGUAGGGAAUAUUCCGCAAUGGGCGAAAGCCUGAUGGAGCAACGCCGCGUGUGUGAUGAAGGUCUUCGGAUCGUAAAGCUCUGUUAGUGGGGAGGAACAGAUGUGUGAGUAUAUAUGCACGUAUUGACGGUACCUAAACAGAAAGCAACGGCUAACUACGUG